rnacentral:rRNA from 1 species
GACGAACCGUGCGAACGUUAUUCGGAAUCACUGGGCUUAAAGGGCGCGUAGGCGGGCUCGCAGGUCAGGGGUGAAAGCCCACGGCUCAACCGUGGAAGUGCCUUUGAUACCGUGAGUCUCGAGGGAGGUAGGGGCGUGCGGAACUUCCGGUGGAGCGGUGAAAUGCGUAGAUAUCGGAAGGAACAUCGGUGGCGAAAGCGGCGCGCUGGGACGUGACUGACGCUGAGACGCGAAAGCGUGGGGAGCAAACAGG